rnacentral:lncRNA from 1 species
CAUUUAGCCUUCAUCUGGGCCUAUUGAACUACGUGCUUUGGCAUAGGCCAACGAACUACAUGACACCAAUUCUCACUUAAGCUCAUUUCAGGUUGUCAGAGAUGCAGCAAAAACGCGCAGAUAUGCUGCUCAAAAGAACACACAGGAAAUACAAACAGAAGACGACUUAACUGGGUCUGAUGGUUUAUGUCAUUUAAAACUCACCUGAGAAAAAAAUAAUGGUUUCCGAUUUGAUGGAUGCGUUGAUGACAUGGAGAAAAGGCAUUAAGAAUAUUGUUCGAGUCUGUUUAUCAUUAAACGACUGUUUUGUGAAGGUCCAAAUAAAACCGCAGUUUGAUUUCCCCAGUGCAAACCGUAACUUUUGGACGGUGGAUGAAACCAAAGUCACGCCAAAGAUGCUGCGACGACACUUCGAGUGUUUGCGUUAUGUCUUCCCUCAUUUGUACGAAAACAUGGACAAUCACACUGCGAAGAGAAAGAAGAGAAGAACCAGCAAAUGUCCAACGGCAGAAAAGUUUAGCUGCUAGUUUUCCAGAGUCUCUGUUGCAGCGGGAAAGCAGCGCCCCCGUGAGGCUCACACCUGUACUUGGUCAAAGAGUGAACCUUGAGUUUCUGGGGAUAGACCAUCGAGACCUUGGUUUGGAGAGCACGAUGAAAACAUGGAACCUGCCCAUGCAAACGGGUGCUUACACUAAUUUUAGUGGACCAUUUAGUUCUAACUGGUACCAAAUAAAUGGAUGCCGUUUAGCCUUGAAAAUGCAUCCAGUGUCUCUGUCCUAUUGUGCAUCACCUGAGAGUGGUCAGCAAAUCACUUCAAAUGCUAUGUCCUCUUGGGCCUAAUUGUAAAUCUGCACUUAAUUUUUUAAAACACUUUUAACCUUUGUAUACAGGAUUAUACAUGUUUCUUAAUGCAUGUACUUUUUUUUGUAACGUCGGUCAAAUGUUUGCUAGAUUCUCCUUGCCAAAUAAAGGACUAUAGUG